GAGGGUAGAGCUCAGUGGUAAAGCUCAUGCUUAGCAUGCACAAGGUCCUGGGUUCAAACCCCAGUACCUCCC
rnacentral:tRNA from 1 species